rnacentral:ribozyme from 13 species
UGAAACUAAACAACAACAACAACAAACAAAUCACAACAAAAACUCAAAAAGAAAAGAAAAAAUCUAGUCGACAAAACACACAAUCGUCGACUUUCACUUUCUUUCCUUUUCCUUUUUCCCCCUUUUUUUUCUCUUUCUCUUUCUCUUUCUCUUUCUCUU